UGAGCAAUACUUUGUAUAUAAAUGUAGCUUUAGAAGUGUACAUAGUAUACCCACUAAUUUUAAACAACUGAUACUUAAACACGACCAAUUCAAGAAAUAUGAAGAAAUUCUUUGGGCUAUUGUUGUUGCUUAUCUUUUUAUUUGCUUCUGAGAUGAAUAUGGUGGCCGAGGUUGAUGGUGCCACAUGCGAAAAACCAAGCCAGUUCUUCAAAGGUCCCUGCGGUACUCAUGAGGCUUGUAGGCAAUCUUGUACUAAAGAGAAUUGGCCUGUUGGAGUUUGUGACUUUUUCAAAUGUAAAUGUCAAAGGCCUUGUUAAGCACUACAGUGUGCUUAACUGCUUAUGUACUUAUGUACGUGUGCUCCUCGUUGCUUUAUAUAACAAGCAUGACUAAAAUCAAAGCAAUAAUAUCCCUAGUUCCCUACUAAA